rnacentral:misc_RNA from 1 species
GAUGAAGAACGUAGCGAAAUGCGAUACUUGGUGUGAAUUGCAGAAUCCCGUGAACCAUCGAGUCUUUGAACGCAAGUUGCGCCCGAAGCCACUAGGCCGAGGGCACGCCUGCCUGGGCGUCACACGCCGUUGCCCCCCCAUCUACUCCUUCGGGAUUGCGGGGGGGCGGAUGAUGGCCUCCCGUGCGCCUAGCCGCGCGGUUGGCAUAAAUACCAAGUCCUCGGCGACGCACGCCACGACAAUCGGUGGUUGCGAAACCUCGGUUGCCCGUCGUGUGCGUUCGUCGCGCAUCGAGGGCUCGAAAAAAUGCUCGGCUCCGGCUGGGCUUUCAACGCGACCCCAGGUCAGGCGGGGUUACCCGCUGAAUUUAAGCAUAUCAAUAAGCGGAGGC